UCAAAAGCCCCAAAAUGUGGUAUAAAUAAUAGAGCUGAUGAACAGGGAUUCAGCCAGCACUGAGCUAGAAUGCCUGAAGAGGACCAGGACUGACAUCCCAUCACUUGUCAUUGUUUCCUGAUCCUCUGCAUGAUCCUCACCACCCUCAAACUCUACCGCCUCAUCUGGACCUUGGUGAGAGCCGCAACUUCUCCAUAUGGUCCCCUCCUCAACUGGUUGUCCACUCCACGACAGGAAAAGCCUGCCUUGGUUCCGGACCUGAUCGCUGCUGUCUGACGACCAAUCGAGGAGCGGACGGGCUGUGGAGCAAGCCCAGGGACUGCAACAGCUGCAACAUGCGGCCUCAUGCCCAGGGCUGUGCCUAUGGGGCUGACCUUGAACUUGCGAUCCUCCUGCCUCAGCCUCCUGGGUAGCUGGGAUUACAUACGUGCACCAUUGCACCUGGCAUUUGUUUUGUACUCUGAGGCAGAUUGGCAAGAAUUUGAGUUUGGUCACAUCAAACCCGAGUGAGCAAAUGCUGCAGGGCAGAAUGGUCUCUGACCGAAUGAUUCCAAACCAUGUUCAUGCUGCGUGACUCCUCUCUCCAGCAUUGACCCUAGAGAAGCCAACACAGGCGGAUGUGCAUGGGGCAUACGUGUCAAGGGGUGUGUUCCCAGAAGCCUUGAUCCUUACAGCCGAAAAUAUACAUGUCUAUCAAUGGGGGUGGGGGGGUUAUACAACACGAUUCGCAAGAGGAAAUACAAUAACUGUGGAGAAAAAAAAAAUGAAGUCACCCGGGAAACACAAAUUAGAACUUCAGUAACCUCGGUGAGAUACUACUACACACCCAUGAGAAGAGCCAAAACUAGAAAGACUGUGCCAAGGGGUGACUAGGAUCUGGAGCUGAUAGGAAUGAAAAAUGACACAGUCUCUUGGGAAAAGAA